CUUCAGGGCAGGGUGUAAAUCCCGACCGGCGGUAUAGUCCGCGAGCUUAUAUAAGCAUGAUUUGGUGCAAUUCCAAAACCGACAGUAAUGCACAAGCAAAGUCUGGAUGAAAGAAGAG
rnacentral:ncRNA from 1 species